rnacentral:lncRNA from 1 species
CUGACUUGGCAAUAGGUGCAAUCAUACAGGUAAAUCUUUCAGUGAAACAGAUCACCUCUGACAGAAGAUACUACUAUGUUUUGUCCCCUACAGCAAACCAGUUAAAACUGACUGGGGCAUCUGCUAACAGAGAUCUUCUCUGUGCUGCCUUUUUGUUGUGCUAUAAUACUUUUCAUAAUCUAUUCUUUUAAUUUUUUUUUUUUCUUUUGUACCUGGUUUUCUGGAAGAUUUAAUCUGUAUCAGAAACAGUUUGACUCUUCACUUUUCAUUCUAGCUUAAAAAGCUAAAAUCAUCAUAUUUCAUGUAGUUAAUGUAAUUUUUCUUCACAAUGAAUCCCAGUAUCUGAAAAUCCUGGAUAAGGAAGAGAGACUGCAGCCAGCACUUGCUUCUGUCGCUAGACCAUUUCACAGUUUCUUUCAUAUGCCGGUGCUGGCUGAGGUGAGCCUGGAGGGGCAGUGGCAACGCUUCCAGUGCUGGACGAGUCACCAGGGAGGACGGUGUAGAUCAGCUUUCCGGAGGAAAGUCGUGCUGGGAGACAGCGGGCCCCGUCUGGCUGGCAGCUACCGCUGUACCAGAGCCUUCUGACUUUUAAACGGGGAUGUCCAUGCAACGAUUACUGGCAAACUCCUAAAAUAAUACUAAUAAUAAAAACAACAACAACAACA